AUACUUACCUAGCAGGGGUGAUUCCAUAAUCACGAUGGUGGUUUUCCCAGGGCGAGGCUUAUCCAUUGCGCUCCUGAUGUGCUGACCCCUGCAAUUUCCCCAAAUCUGGGACAUGCAACUGUAGAAUUUGUGGUAGUAGAGGACUGUGUUCAUUCUUCCCCCUA